UUAUCUCAAUCUGCCACGUCCAAGAUCUCUCCAUCCUUCCAGGUUCCAGGCUUCCAGCACAUAUCGGCUUCCUGAAAAAGGGGUCACGUACGCUUCUCCUAAUUCAAGCUACCUGAUCCUUAUCCCAUGCCAUCAGGCUGCAAGCUCCUUCACGCCACCUCACAUUCCACGCACAGGUUUACUUCUUGCUCUUCACACCAUGCGGCUUCCAAGACUCCGCUCAUCACAGCGCUUGGAGCUUGCCGGUUGCCGAGAUGAACCCUGUGCUUAGUCCAUCAGCACCCUAGCCUCCCAUUCACAGUUCCUCCCUGACCUCCCUUACGCUAUUGCAGCAGCAGCACUUGACUCCAGUGCCCUCAACACCCAGCCAUAGUCUACCUCUGCGCUCGUCACGAAGCCGCUUGCCCUACAGUCCUGUCAUGUCACCGUCCUACAAGCACUGAGCUCCGUCCAUCUCGUUGAACGCCAUCGUCCCCUUCUUCACUGUAGGCUCGACAUCUGCCUUCUGGUGCACACCGACGCUGCGCUCUGGCCCUCGCCCUCCAUCGCGCGCUCGGACACUUUGUCACCUCCAGACUUCGCCGUCACUGAGCUUCUCCCUCGCUCUCAGAUCGAGGUCGCCCGACCCCAGCGCGCUCGCCCUGGUGCCCAGCACCUCUUCAAUCCCGAUGCAUCCCCAACUGAACUCGUCGGACUCGCCUUGGUUUGGACUUCGCCAAGUUGGUGAGCAGCCGUGAACUGCACCAUGCUCAGGCCCUGCCCGCUUCCUUUCCAUCUGGGUUGAUCCUACUUCGUCAGAACAGCAGCAGCGCCAGCGUCCUCUCCUAGCUUGUGUUCGUGAAUUUUCUCGUCGAACCGGCAUCGUAUCAUCAUCCGGUAGUGCGGCGCUCUUAAUUCAUAUUUUGGCGAUUUAUAUAUUUAUAUGUUGUAGGUGUAUUCUAGAUAUAUUAUUUGUUACCUUCUUUAUGAAAUGCAUUUCCAUACCAUAGCAAGCAUUAAUCUACAUGUAAUUGAUUUGUAGAACACGUAGAAGAAGUGAUGUUUGAAGAAGGAGUUCACUUCAGUGCAUGUUGAUCCAGCGGUGGAGUUUCAUCUAACUACUUACCAGAGUAGAAUAAGGUUUUGAAUCUUCUCUGCAACAAGGCAAGCCCCGGUGCAUUUGCCACCUCCCUUGUGUUUACAAAAUUUUAUCACUUAUAUGCUGCAUUAGGUGAUAGGAGUUGAUUGAUUAAACAAUUGAUGCAUUACCAUCCUUGAAAGAUUGAUUACCAUACCUUAUCACCUGUUUUAUAAAAGCUAGAGAUGCUUAGUCAUGCUGAUAGACUAAGAAAAAUGUUUUUCAUCUAUGACUCAUGUUUUUACAAAAAGAAAAUGGGCUUGGGAUAAUGAAGGCAUCAAGACGUUGAUAAAUUCAUUAUCCAGGCAUGGCCCCUCUGUCAGGCGCCAAAAUUUUAAAAUAGUUUAAAAUGGGACCAGACGCUGAGCAGGAAAGGUCGCCCGUCUGUGUCGAUUAAGGACCGUACCGAUUGUUGGCCUGAUGAUCUAGGACCUUUUAACUGGCCACAUACCUCGUCAUGGGUAAGCCUGAACCCGGCUAUUCCAUACGUGAAAAGACAACCGCGCACUGGGCGUGGGAGAUGGUGGGAGUAGCUCUUACCCUCCUGGCAAGAGGCUGGAUGGUAGGGUAAUGUGCUCCCGGGUAGCGCGGACCAGUUCAUGUGGUGGAGGAUCCGUGGGAAUGGUUGACAUAUGCAAGGGUUAAGUGCUACAUAUGUCGUGUGGUUAGAGAUCCCCAGCUGGGUAUUAAUCGAUUCGGAUCGCCGUUACUUCUCGGAUAUGAAGACUGGAUCGCUGCCCUUCAUCGUAGAUAACAAGUGAAACAAAAAUUGGAUUUUAAAAGCAACCUAGUGUAGGUCAAGUGAAUGAUCUAGAUUAGAAAAAUGCUAGAUUCAGGCUAGAAGAUUCAGGUAAUAAACUAACUUGUGAAAUAAAACUUGGCUUAAGGACCCACUUCUAGUAAGCUUUUCUGCAAAAUGAGUCCUUGAACUUUGAUGAGCUUUACCUUGAUUCCCAAAAGCCAGCAUACCCUUGAAAGUCUUUUCUUUAGUCGGGUAAGUCUUGCUGAGUAAUUGCGUACUCAGGGUUUUAUCCCUUGUUGUUUUUGUAGGAGAAGUUUUAUUCCCUUAUCCUUGGGUUAGUUACUUCAUGUGGAGGACUUGAAGCUUAGAAGGUUUUUAUAUUUCUCUUAUGGAAAGGCUUCACCCUUCCAAUUAUUGUAAUAAGUUAUGUCCUUUGAGUACUAUCAAGACUUGUAAUAAAUACAUCUCUUUCUACCAUGUAAAACUUGAGUUCUGGAAUGUAAAGUGUACUUUGUAAAAGUCUUCCGCUCUAUCUCCAAUGUGUGUG
rnacentral:lncRNA from 1 species